rnacentral:rRNA from 1 species
AUGGCCGCGGUAUUCUGACCGUGCGAAGGUAGCAUAAUCAUUAGUCUCUUAAUUAGAGGCUGGUAUGAACGGUUUAACGAGAAAGUAACUGUCUCUUAUAUAAAAUUUGAACUUUAUUUUUAGGUGAAAAAGCCUAAAUAUAUCUGGAGGACGAUAAGACCCUAUAGAGCUUCAUUUAUUUUAUAUUUUUCAGACUUAGUAUUUAUGAAAAUAAAUAAAAAAAAUAAAUUUUGUUGGGGCGACAAAAAGACAAUACUUAACUCUUUCUUCUAUUAACAGAAAAAUCUGAAAAAUUGAUCCUUAAAGAAAGAUCAUAUGAACAAGUUACCUUAGGGAUAACAGCGUAAUCCUUUUUGAGAGUUCACAUCGACAAAAGGGUUUGCGACCUCGAUGUUGGAUUAAGAAUUUGCUAGGGUGUAGCAGCU